AUUCAAAGUAGGCUCUCAAAGGCAAUUGUCACAGGCGCAGUGGCACAUUCCUAUUUUAAUUCCAGCAGCUUGGGAGGCUGAGGCGUGAGAAUCUUGAGUUCAAAGCCAGCCUCAGCAAAAAUAAAAUGCUAAGCAACUCAGUGAGACCCUGUCUAAAUAAAAUAUAAAAUAGGGCUGGGGAUGAGUGUCCCUGGUACCCAGGAAAAAAAAAAAUAUAUAUAUAUAUAUAUGCGCGCGCUCAUAGUAGCGUUAUUUAAAAUGGCCAAGAGGUGGAAGCAAUUCAAACAUUCUCAAAAAUGUGGCAUAUGUGCACAGUGAAAUAUUGUUCAGCCGUGAGGCAAAUCCUGUCACUGUGAUAUAGAUGGACCUUGAAGACAUUACAGUAAGGGAAGUAAGCCACAAAAUCUCAAAUGCUGUAUUAUUUCAUGUCAGAAGUCAACACACAAACUAGAAAGGUGGGGCUGGGGAUAUUCUCAGUGUUAGAGGACUUGCCCAGCAUGCGUGAGGCCCAGGAUUUUAUCCCUAGUACUAGGGAGCUGGGGGGAGGGAGAAAAAGGUGCCAAGGCUGAGGGUGAGGGAAGUAGAGAACUGGUAUUUAAUGUAGAAUUUCAGUGUAGUCAGGCAUGGUGGCGCACACCUGCAAUCCCAGCAGCUCAGGAGGCUAAAACAGGAAGGUCACAAGUUUGAAGCCAGUCUCAGCAAUUUAGCAAAACCCUAUCUGACUCAAAAAGGGCAGGAGGUGUGGCUUAGUGGUUAAGCACCCCUGGGUUCAAUCCCCAGUACCCCCCCCCCCCAAAAAAAAUCCACCUUUGAAAGGUGAAAAAGCCCUGGAGAUGGGUUGCACAGCAAAGUGAAUAUACUUAACACUACUGAACUGUACACUUGCAAAUGGUUAACAUGGAAAAUUUUUUAUUACCUUUUUUUAGCCACAAUUUAAAGUUUUUAAAAUUUUUUGUGGCUGAAUCUAAAAUUCUAAAUUUUUAGCCUAAGUAAAAUGAGUGGGUCAUGCAUAAAAUACAUUACUUAGGUAUCUUCAUAAUUAUUUUGUGUUAAUUGUGCAAAAUUCUAAUUUACAAAUGGUAAACACUUUUUUCAAGCUUUAUCUGCUUUUUUAAUUCUUUUAAUUGUUUCCAAAAUCAGGGACUCAAGUCUGUAUUUGUAAAUAUGCUGUUCCUUAUUUCAACUAUGUAUUCAUCUCAAAAGACACAGAAAAACCGUUCAAUUAAAUUCCCAUUAUUUUUAAAAAUUUGAACUCUAGCAAUAGAAAGAAAUAUCCUUAAUUUCUACAGGUUAAUUUAUCUGUCAAAACUUGGAGUUGUGUUAAUAAUAAAACAACAAGUACUGAAUAAAUUGUUCCUAAAUCGUUACUUUAGGAAAAAAGAAUGCUUACUGUCUUCACUACUUGUUCAUUUCAAGGAAGAUUAAAUCUUUCUUUUGCAGCUGAGGAAACUAUAGCCCAAAGGCAUUAAGUUAUUUUCAUGAGGUCACGCAGUUAGCAGAUCAAAACUGAAGUUUUAAAUUCAGAUCUGUCCCAAGAGUUUGUAUUCUUACAAAAGAUUGUCAAACCAGGCACAACUAAGCAAGUAACUCCAAACAUUCAGACUCCGCUCUGUAUAUAAAUAAAUAUUUGGUGGGCAACACUGAUUAAUAAAAUAAUCAAUUUUACAUAAUGUGGAAUUUUUUCUUUGAUUGAAGGGCUUCAACUGAAGCCUAUUUAGUGGAAUGGAGAAAUAAUAUCUGCUUUUCCAAAGCAACACAACAGUGACCCAUUUCCUAGACUAUUAAAAGUAGAUAGAGGAUUCCUGAAUCACAAUGGUUUAACUUACAAGUGUUCAACUUUAUGAUGGUGAAAAAGUGAUACAUAUUUAAUGGAAGCCAUACUUAGAAUUUUUUAUUUUUUAUCUUUUCCCUGACUGAUUCCCAGUAUGUGGGGUUCAAUAUUGUCUUAGGAUGCUGGGUAGCUCCCAGUCACACAAUCUCAGAAGUGAAAAAUGGAUGCUCUACAGUAUACUGUACCACCACCAUUUUCUGGAUGCAGGUAUUCAUUGUUACAGUAGACAUUCAACCCUUUAUUAUAAAAUACUUUGGGGCCUGGGGUUGUGGCUCACUGGUAGAGGGCUUGCCUAGCAUGUGUGUGGCACUGGGUUUAAUCCUCAGCACCACAUAAAUAAAAUUAUCGUGUCCAUCUACAACUUAAAUAAAUAAAAGUACUCUUUGGUUAGAAGAUUGUGCCCAACUGUGGGCUGUGUUUUGAACCCAUGCUAGGCUGCACUGUGACGUUCAUAGCUCAAAUGAAUUAAAUGUUGUUAUAGCUUGGGUAAGAGGUGUCCUCCAAAAGCUCCUAUGUAAAUGCAGGAGUAUUCUGAAGUGGAAUGAUCAGAUUAUGAGAACUGUCAUCUAAUCGGUGGAUUAAUCCACUUAAUGGGUUAAUGAUUUUGAAUGGAUUACUAGAUGGUAACUGUAGGAAGAUGGGGCAUGACUGAAGGAAGUGAGUCACUAGGGGUGAACCUUGGGGAUUAUGUAUUUUAUCCCUGGCUCCUCCCACUCUCUGUCACUUCUUACAAACUGAGUGGCUUUCUUCCCCCAUGAAGUUCUACCUCACCUUGGUCCCAGAAGAGUUGAGUCAGCCAGCCAUGGUCUGAAAUCUGAAAUCUUGAGUCCCAAAUCAACCUUUGCUCCUCUAAUUCCUUCUGCUCAGGAUUUGGUCACAGUGACUAAAAGUUGAUUACACACACAAAUACAUCUUUGACCUAUGAUACUUUCAACUUAAUGAUGUGAUUGUUGGGCUGUAAAUCCAUAGUGAGUAAAGAAGCAGUUAAUAGGGCUGGGGAUGUGGCUCAAGCAGUAGCGCGCUCACCUGGCAUGUGUGCGGCCCGGGUUCGAUCCUCAGCACCACAUACAAACAAAGAUGUUGUUGUGUCC
rnacentral:lncRNA from 1 species